GUAAUCACUUGUCCUCUAAAUAAGGACCCGUAUGAACGGCUAAAUGAGGGCCUAACUGUCUCCUGUGGCCAAUCAAUGAAACUGAUCUUCCAGUAAAAAAGCUGGAAUAAACCCACAAGACGAGAAGACCCUGUGGAGCUUUAAAUUAAUAUACUACCUACACCACCCUUUCUACCCACAAGGCCCAACAACAAUAAUAGUAGUAUAAACUUUAAGUUGGGGCAACUACGGAACAAAGAAAACCUUCCAUGCAACAGGAUAUACCAUCCAUUAAAGGACCACAAACCAAAAAUAUUUAAUUAACCGACCCAGUAAUACUGAUCACCGAACCAAGUUACCCCAGGGAUAACAGCGCCAUCCUCUUCUAGAGUCCCCAUCGCCAAGAGGGUUUACGACCUCGAUGUUGGAUCAGGGCCCCCAGGCGGUGCAGCCGCUGCCAACGGUUCGUUUGUUCAA
rnacentral:rRNA from 1 species